GAACGCUGGCGGCAUGCCUAACACAUGCAAGUCGAACGAGACCUUCGGGUCUAGUGGCGCACGGGUGCGUAACGCGUGGGAAUCUGCCCUUGGGUUCGGAAUAACAGUUGGAAACGACUGCUAAUACCGGAUGAUGACGUAAGUCCAAAGAUUUAUCGCCCAGGGAUGAGCCCGCGUAGGAUUAGCUAGUUGGUGGGGUAAAGGCCUACCAAGGCGACGAUCCUUAGCUGGUCUGAGAGGAUGAUCAGCCACACUGGGACUGAGACACGGCCCAGACUCCUACGGGAGGCAGCAGUGGGGAAUAUUGGACAAUGGGCGAAAGCCUGAUCCAGCAAUGCCGCGUGAGUGAUGAAGGCCUUAGGGUUGUAAAGCUCUUUUACCCGGGAUGAUAAUGACAGUACCGGGAGAAUAAGCCCCGGCUAACUCCGUGCCAGCAGCG
rnacentral:rRNA from 1 species